AUUGAACGCUGGCGGCAGGCUUAACACAUGCAAGUCGAGCGGAGCGAGGGUGCUUGCACCUUAGCUUAGCGGCGGACGGGUGAGUAAUGCUUAGGAAUCUGCCUAUUAGUGGGGGACAACAUUCCGAAAGGAAUGCUAGUACCGCAUACGCCCUACGGGGGAAAGCAGGGGAUCUUCGGACCUUGCGCUAAUAGAUGAGCCUAAGUCGGAUUAGCUAGUUGGUGGGGUAAAGGCCUACCGAGGCGACGAUCUGUAGCGGGUCUGAGAGGAGGAUCCGCCACACUGGGACUGAGACACGGCCCAGACUCCUACGGGAGGCAGCAGUGGGGAAGAUUGGACAAUGGGCGGAAGCCUGAUCCAGCCAUGCCGCGUGUGUGAAGAAGGCCUUUUGGUUGUAAAGCACUUUAAGCGAGGAGGAGGCUCUUAAGGUUAAUACCCUUGAUGAGUGGACGUUACUCGCAGAAUAAGCACCGGCUAACUCUGUGCCAGCCGCCGCCGUAAAAC
rnacentral:rRNA from 1 species